GGAAGGAUCAUUAACACGUAUCCACGUAUCAACCAAUGUGAACUCGUUUUCAACUCUCCCUUGACCCUACAUGAAUUGACAAUAGACAGAGAUCGAUAGAGGAGCUCUUCGGAGCUCAUCUCUGGCUACCAACUGACUCGCGCAAGCGGAUCGACAAUUGGAGUAGGGUUGAGACUAAUUUCUGACUUAGCAUAGCCACUCUCUGGGCCAGCUUCGUUGGAUGCACUAAAUAACCUAUUUCACCCCCUUUUUGCUAGUUGACUUUUUAUAUGUUAAUAGCCUCGUAUGCUUGCAUGCGAACUAUUACACGUUUAUUUAUUUGAACGUUAUGAAACAACUCUUAGCAAUGGAUAUCUUGGUUCUCGCAACGAUGAAGAACGCAGCGAAAUGCGAUACGUAAUGCGAAUUGCAGAAUUCAGUGAAUCAUCAAAUCUUUGAACGCAAAUUGCGCUCUUGGGUAGCCCUAGGAGCACGCCUCUCUCAGUAUCGGUUCAACCAUCUCUCAGCAGCGUAUAAGUGAAUUCAUUCUCUUGUAUGCGUUGGCUGGAUAAUGAGAGUCUGAUUCGCGUCAGUCUCUUGAAAUACAUCGAGUGCGCUUAUAUAACUAACGAUCACUGUCCAUCUCGGUGGACUAGUUCGGAAUGAACGGUGAAUUAUUAGUGACGUGAAUACUUGCCUUUAUUGGCUAAACUUUUACGUGUAUCUAAUGAAUUGCUAUUAAGUUUAUGAAGAAUGAACGAUCGACCUAGUAGAAUAGGCGACGUAGGAACACCAUAUGAUAUGAAUUAAAUUUCAUUAUUUAUUUAUAUCUGAAUUUUGAUCUGAGAUGAAGCGAGACAACCCCCUGAAUUUAAGCAUAUUAAUAAGGGGAGGAAAAGAAACUAACAAGGAUUCCCCCAGUAACGGCGAGUGAAGCGGGAAGAGCUCAAUUUGAAAAUCGAUUACCUAAACGGGUCAUCGAGUUGUAGCCUAGAGACGUACUAUCAGCUGAAACCUGGGUAUAAGUUCUUUGGAAUGAGGCAUCAUAGAGGGUGAGAAUCCCGUAUAUGACCCAAAGCUUUCAGCGUACGAUGUAUGUUCAUCGAGUCGAGUUGUUUGGGAUUGCAGCUCUAAAUGGGUGGUAAGUUUCAUCUAAAGCUAAAUAUAGGCGAGAGACCGAUAGCGAACAAGUACCGUGAGGGAAAGAUGAAAAGAACUUUGAAAAGAGAGUUAAAAGUACUUGAAAUUGCUAAGAGGGAAGCGCUGAAAACCAGUGAUAUGUCGAGUCAAUCGCCGUUCGCCCCACUAGCUCGUGUGUGUAGUUCGUAAGUCUACUAGCGCGAUCGAAAGGGAGGCGGGCGGUUUAUGAUUCGAUGUCAGUCAAGAUCAAUUCGGAUUGUGGGAGAAGGUAGUGAGAAAGGUAGGAGAGCAAUCUCUGUUAUAUUCUUGUUACUCUACCUCGGCCUGGAUUGAGGAAGUAAUGGUGCGCUGCUUGCGGCUUGGUCCGGCGUCUCUGAGGGCUCAUUUGUUCUGAUAGCAAUGCUAUCUCUAUGAAGAAGGUCUUUACUGGGCGUCGUGCUCCUAUGUGCCAUCACGAUCUUGUACGAAAUGGUUUUCAUCGACCCGUCUUGAAACACGGACCAAGGAGUCUAACAUCUAUGCGAGUAUUUGGGUGCAAAACCCUGAUGCGUAAUGAAAGUAAAGGUAGCUCGUCUACUGAGGUAGGAAUCCAGCAAUGGAGGCACUAUCGACCGAUCAUCACUUGUGAAAGAUUUGAGUAAGAGCAUAUCUGUUGGGACCCGAAAGAUGGUGAUCUAUGCCUGAACAGGGUGAAGCCAGGGGAAACUCUGGUGGAGGCUCGUAGCGAUACUGACGUGCAAAUCGUUCGUCUGAUUUGGGUAUAGGGGCGAAAGACUAAUCGAACCAUCUAGUAGCUGGUUCCCUC
rnacentral:misc_RNA from 1 species